UCUGAGUAACUGCUACUUGCCUCUUAGACCAACUCGCUUGCACGUCGGGCGCCACUUGACUAGGCACCUUUGCAACUUGCGAUUCUGGGAGCUUGUGUUCAAUAGAAUUCUCAUUCGUUUUUUAGGCAAUUGUUAAUGGUUUGUCUUACGGGUGUUUAAAGCGGCCUCCCCUGGUUGUGGCAUGUAGUUCGGGCAAGUCUCGUAACGGGCUCCCCAGCUUGAGGUCGGAUUUUUUCAAUGUAAUAUCAUGCCUUUGAUUUGCGAAUAGCUUGAAAGGCGCUUAAAUGGCUUUUGUGAAAGUUUGAUAAUACCAAUAGUUCGUUGGUCGCCGAAGCGUUUGCGCUACUGACUAGUGAAGCGUGCUCCUCGUUAGCGUGGGCACCCCUAUUAUUGGAGAUAAGCAACAGCUUGCUUUUUGAUGGUUUAUUAGCACUACCGCGCAAGUGGAGUCUGAAUGAAAGUUCUCGGACGCGCAGUUCGAAGGUGCUGACACAACGCGGGGCUGAAAACCUCGUUGAAUAUCAUAGGUCAACCGAAGAUCGUUUUUCAGAACAUUGUGCCCUCAGAUGCGAUUGAUUUAUCUCCUAUGCCCACGGCACACUUGAUAGUUGCGAUUUAAAGCAAGUAGUCCCAGACUAAACGAAAGCUAGGACCACCAGGGAUUCACCCGUCCUGCUAUGAUAAGCUUGAAUUUCAGGUUAAAUGCAUAAUAGCGACAACGAAUGUCUCUGCACUGCUCCGGGAGCUCAGUGUUCUCCAUAUGACAUACCUUACUGUCGACAACUGCGGGAUACCAUCCUGCUCGUUGAUAUAUUAGAACAUUUCAAGUGGUUUUUGGACGUUUUGAAACACUCCAGCGGCAUUGUCAAGGACCAUGUCAACAAGUUCGAAAUACUACGAGAGGCGGCUGGUAAGGAGGUGAGGUAAAGGUUUUAGAGAUAUUUCGUCAGCUACAGGACGCAUUCGGCUGACUUGGUAUGAGCUUGCACAGAAAGACGAAAAAGGCUAUACCGGAUGCUGUUGAAAAGGAGCUUUGCUUUAUGUAAGUACUUGUUGAGAACUGAUCGAAGCCGGAAGCUUCGUUUCGCCUUGGUCCGUGGAUACAAACCAUUAUAUGCGAUGGCUUCAAAUCUUAACUAAAGGGUUUGCGUGAUCUGAGCGCUACCUGGUACCAAAUGACAGCUUAAAACAUCGGAUUGCGAAUUAAUCUUAUUUUGACUGUCUAGCGCCUUUUAAGUACAUGAAGAACUUAUUUCGAUUGGAUAUGAUGCUAAAACGUGUCGUCGCAGCCACCGAUGAGGUCGCAAACAUGUUACUUUUAAGCAGUCGUUCCUCAUAAUCUUUACGCUGACUUUUUCGUGUUUUCGAGUCAAAUUUACUGGAAAGCGUUAUCUAAGAGCAUCUGAAGAGAAGCAAUAAGAUGUUAGUCCAAAUCCCCACAUCCUCCAUCUCCGUUGAGAGCAAAUGAAGUCGAAAACCGUCGAGAAAUGUAGGCUGUACGACGUAUCUAUGGCGAAGACGUCAAUGACAGAGUUUCCUUCAUGAUUCUCAAAUGUUCGGAACAGAAUAUUCUCCAUUAUCGUAUAGCCGAAGUCAUGAAGAGUACGAUCUCCGGUCGAUCUAACUGACCAAACUAUUCACCAGGACAUGUAUGCAACGAUAAAAACAAUUCAAGUGUAAACAAUGUAUUUGUGAAACAAGGCUUAAAAACGUGGAAAACAUUUGUCACUGAAAUGAGGCCACUAAGUGACUAACAGCUAAAAGGGGCAAUAUUAAGAGUUACCAAAAAGCGAAGCGUAAUGAAAACGAUAUACCUCUUAUAAUUUUAGCCCCAGCCAGACGGCAAUUACCGUGGUUGAUCUCACGUCCACUUUGAAAGUAAUUGUCACAAAGGAAACGUAUCUAACAUAUUUUGUUACCGACAGACAGGACAUCAAUCGAAAGUUAAUUUUUUCGUUCUUCUAUGAAAAAACUGCGGCUUCAAAGCGUGGUAUUAUUACCUCAACUCCAAGGCCAGGUAAAUUCCGACCAAAUGUAAUAAUAUCGCCUUCUAAAUGGAAGAAAUCCGAUUGUAGACAUUUUACCAAUAGAAACAAUUCUUGAUGAUUGUUAGCAAUC